rnacentral:rRNA from 1 species
UACGUAGGGUGCAAGCGUUAAUCGGAAUUACUGGGCGUAAAGCGUGCGCAGGCGGUUUUGUAAGUCUGUCGUGAAAUCCCCGGGCUCAACCUGGGAAUUGCGAUGGAGACUGCAAGGCUAGAAUCUGGCAGAGGGGGGUAGAAUUCCACGUGCAGCAGUGAAAUGCGUAGAGAUGUGGAGGAACACCGAUGGCGAAGGCAGCCCCCUGGGUCAAGAUGACGCUCAUGCACGAAAGCGUGGGGAGCAAACAGG